CAAUAGCGUAUAUUAAAGUUGUUGCGGUUAAAAAGCUCGUAGUUGGAGUUCUGCCAGGUGCCGCCUGUCCGCCCCAGUGGUGAGUACGUGGCGCGCAUUUGGCCCUUUCAAGGGGAGCGUAUCUGCACUUUAUUGUGUGGUGCGGGAUCCUUGACUUUUACUUUGAGGAAAUAGGAGUGUUCCAAGCAGGCUCUCGUCGUGCACAGCUCAGCAUGGAAUAAUAGCAUUGGACCUCGAUUCUAAGCUGUUGGUUGCCAGAAGCGAGGUAAUGAUGAAGAGGGAUAGUUGGGGGCAUUCGUAUUUAACUGUCAGAGGUGAAAUUCUUGGAUUUGUUAAAGACGGACUACCGCGAAAGCAUCUGCCAGGGAUGUUUUCAUUGA
rnacentral:rRNA from 1 species